rnacentral:rRNA from 1 species
CAGUCGCCGCGGGAAUACGAAGGGGGCUAGCGUUGUUCGGAAUUACUGGGCGUAAAGCGCACGUAGGCGGAUAUUUAAGUCAGGGGUGAAAUCCCGCAGCUCAACUGCGGAACUGCCUUUGAUACUGGGUAUCUUGAGUAUGGAAGAGGUUAGUGGAAUUGCGAGUGUAGAGGUGAAAUUCGUAGAUAUUCGCAGGAACACCAGUGGCGAAGGCGGCUAACUGGUCAUAACUGACGCUGAGGUGCGAAAGCGUGGGGAGCAAACAGGAUUAGAUACCCGCGUAGUCCCUGUCUCUUAUACA